GGAUGUGAGGGUGAUCUGGCUAUGACAUAUGUCACCCCAUUUAUCUCCAGGGUUGAUUCGGCUGAUCUGGCUGGCUAGGUGGGUGUCCCCUUCCUCCCUCACUGCUCCAUGUGCGUCCCUCCUGAAGCUGCUCAGUUGAAGAGGAUGACCAUCCUCAAUAGAGGAGGACCGUUCUUCAGUCAAGGGUAUAUGAGUAGCUGCGUUCCCCUGCUAGAACCUCCAAACAAGCUCUCAAAAUGUCUUCCUCCAUAACUGAUGAAGCAUUCAUUUACUUUAGGGCUGAGUGCAGUAGCUUGCCCCUGUAAUCCCAGCUAUCCAGAGGGAGAU
rnacentral:snRNA from 1 species